rnacentral:lncRNA from 1 species
GAAAGUAUCGCUGGGUUUAACAGCAUCGACGGAGAUGGAACGCGUCUGCUGGUGCCUCCCGAAAGCCGCCGUGUGGUUGACAGAUCGAGGGGUGGAGAUGAAAGGGGAAAGGGAAGAGACAUACCUCGCCGGAGCGUGAGGAACAAGGUGAGGUGUUUCAGCGUUACGGUGUCGUUUUGUGUCGUUAACGAGACGUUUGACGAUUCCUCUGUAAGCAAGUCUCCUUGCGCGCUCCAUUGGGAAAAAAGGUUGCAGUCAGAAAACGAAGAGAGUAAGAGAGAUGUUUUGAGAAAGAUGGAUGUCUUUUUUAGUUUUUCGCCAUGAAUGAAAGGAGGAGGUAGAAGCUAGCUACAAGGAGGGAAUCUGAGAGAGAGUAUAUACAAU